AUACGUAGGGGGCGAGCGUUGUCCGGAAUUAUUGGGCGUAAAGCGCGCGUAGGCGGCUUGUUAAGUCAGGUGUUAAAGGCAAGGGCUCAACCCCUGUUCGCACCGGAAACUGGCAGGCUUGAGUUUGGUAGAGGAAAACGGAAUUCCCAGUGUAGCGGUGAAAUGCGCAGAUAUUGGGAAGAACACCGGUGGCGAAGGCGGUUUUCUGGGCCACAACUGACGCUGAGGUGCGAAAGCUAGGGGAGCAAACAGGAUUAGAUACCCUGGUAGUCCUAGCCGUAAACGAUGGAUACUAGGUGUGGGGGGUAUCGACCCCUUCUGUGCCGCAGUCAACACAAUAAGCAUUCCGCCUGGGGAGUACGGCCGCAAGGUUGAAACUCAAAUGAAUUGGCGGGG
rnacentral:rRNA from 1 species